UACGUAGGGGGCAAGCGUUGUCCGGAAUCAUUGGGCGUAAAGAGCGCGUAGGCGGUCCGGUAAGUCGGUUGUGAAAGUCGGGGGCUCAACCCUCGGAUGCCGAUCGAUACUGUCGGGCUAGAGUCCGGAAGAGGCGAGUGGAAUUCCUGGUGUAGCAGUGAAAUGCGUAGAUAUCAAGCGGAACACCAGUGGCGAAGGCGAGUCCCUGGACAACUCCUGACACUGAGGCACGAAAGCUAGGGGAGCAAACAGG
rnacentral:rRNA from 1 species